rnacentral:misc_RNA from 1 species
GAUGAAGAACGUAGCGAAAUGCGAUAAGUAAUGUGAAUUGCAGAAUUCAGUGAAUCAUCGAAUCUUUGAACGCACAUUGCGCCCGCCAGUAUUCUGGCGGGCAUGCCUGUUCGAGCGUCAUUUCAACCAUCAAGCCCCAGGCUUGUGUUGGAGCCCUGCGGCUGCCGCAGCCUCCCAAAACCAGUGGCGGGCUCGCUAUCACACCGAGUGCAGUAGUUUACUCUUCGCUCAGGGCGUGCGGCGGGUGCUAGCCGUAAAACCCCCAACUUCUCAAGGUUGACCUCGGAUCAGGUAGGAAUACCCGCUGAACUUAAGCAUAUCAAUAAGCGGAGGA